GUAGAAGCAGCGAAUAUAAAUCAACGUUCUCUGGUAGAAGUACACAUUGCGUUGUGAGCAGCGAUUUGGUUUGUUGAAACGCAACCACCAAUCUUGAAUAUACUUGUAAAACAAGAACAAAAGCUAUAGAUAGAAGUUUCAUUCACUCAUAUAAACGGCUUUCGAAUUCUCAAAAAUGUUAACGAAUUGUGAAUUGAAAACAUUGAGCAUUUGAGAAAUAAAGUGUGCUUACCUAUAAGAUAUAUUUUUUUUCACUUACUACUUCUAAAAUGGAGUCAAAACAUAGGCUUUGCUAAAGCAAUGCUUGUUUUGCGAAUUACUCACCCUCAGGCAGGUACAUCCGUAUCCCCGACAUAUGCUCCGCAUAAUAACCUUUGACCAACGAAUAACAUCGCUGAUCAUGAAACGCGGCAUCAUCCCGGAACAGCAGAGGCGGAUUCGGAGAUUGCUAAGUACCGCUUCAUUCUGGUCAUCCCAUCCUUUAAGUGAACCCACCACGAAGCCGCCAAAUCGUACGUUGUUAUCCCUUGCCAGAGUUUAUAUCGUCUACACGAUAUGAGUAGAAAAAAAUGAGUAAUUUACUUUUGAGCUGCACCGAAAUGUGUGCGAUUUAUUGAUAUUCAUAAGACUCACUUGUUAUAAUGUAAUAAGUAAUACGUUCCUUAACUCCAGUGAGAGCGUCCACAAGGGGCUGAUAUUUUGCUAUUUUUUCCCUCCUGGCAGUUUCGAGAGCUCUUGAACGGUUCUCGAAUGGAAUACAUACAUACGUCGAUAAUCGUUACUCGGCGGCUGUCUUCAUCCCUAAUGACAAUGUCCGGUCUUAGGGCAGCCGCCGCGCCUUUAGCUUCUGGGAUUACUUGGAUAACGGAUUUAGUUCCGGGAUUACGGGCAGCAGCUCUCACCAGCCCGCUCUGGAUGGCAUCAUGUCUCCGCCUAAUUGCGACGCUGUGAGCAUGACAGUGGUUGAUCACAUGCGGGAGCGUCUCGGUCUCAUAUCCGCAUCUGCGACAUCUCUUAUCCGCCGAAGUGUGCUGUUGAGGGGCAGAACAUUGAGACGGGCGCGAUGGAUGAAGCGCCAGUCGCAGAAGCGGGUAUUACGACCGCUCCGGAGAAAGUGAUUGGAGACCGGGUGCUUUUUGGUCACUUCCAACACUUUCCUCUGAUCCCUCUUUUCCAAGAGGUCUCUCACAUAUUUGGCAACCUCUUUGCUGCUCAGCAUGUUGGCGAUCUUAUGCCGCCCGGCUGGUGAAACUGCAUCUUCCUUCCCCUAAAUAUGAUCCCGUGUGCCUACUCUCCCGGCAGCCAGCACCACUUGACGCCUAUCCUUCGGUGCAGACGGACCCACCGAUCUCGGAAUCUCCUGAUCCCCAGAGAGGUAUCGAGCCAUGUCUUCUGGAGACACUUCCCUCCUUCUCAUUCCCGACGACACUGCUUCAUGCAUGAGACUUUUUGCUGAAUUUGACAAUCCUGGGUCACAGCAGUGUAGCAGCCUAUAGGCAUGAGUGAUGGUAUAUAAUAUAUGUCGUACGCGUCUGAGAGGGGGAUCAGCCCUCCGCCUCCCUGUGACGGCGGUAGUUACACUAGUUCUGGGCUUGCUCGUUUUGGCAAAAAUAGCCAUUUCUUUGCCAGCUGUUUAAUACGCCCAUCUGCAACUCGAAGGUAUUCCUUCUCAAAGGUAUCUCCCUGCAUGAUGAAGUCAAGCCUCGGAGAGAGCCAUCGAUUGCAUUGGCGUCUGCAAUCAGCCCAAUAAGGGUGUUAACGGGAACUUGGCGGACCUGAUAACCUAUUGAGAUGCCCAGGUGUUCGUAGGCCUCCUCAUUUCUGAGGGCUGGCAUCAGGUUACCCUGGAUUGGAAAUUGCGUUGGCAGUGCGCCAUUCUCCCCGACAAAGUGUAGUGAAGCAGACUUCGCCGGUUUGAAUGUCGGGCCUACCGCGGCAGCUCCUUCCUCCGCGGCCCGGAUAAGGGAUGUCAUUCCCUCGACGGAGUCAGAAAUAAAACUCUUCUGCCUUCAAAAUUAUCUUGAUUCAUACGGGUGAAUAUAUUUUGUAAAACUGGGACUUUAACUAAAAAAACCAUCGAGGACUACUACCCUGUAAUUUUUUCAAUUUUAUGAUAUGAAUUUGUCUUAACUUAUUUAAAGUUAUUUUA